rnacentral:rRNA from 1 species
UACGUAGGCAGCGAGCGUUGUUCGGAGUUACUGGGCGUAAAGGGUGCGUAGGCGGUUCUCUAAGUCAGUUGUGAAAUACUUCAGCUUAACUGGAGAGGUGCAAUUGAUACUGGAGAACUUGAGUACUGAUGAGGUAGGCGGAAUGGACGGUGUAGCGGUGAAAUGCUUAGAUAUCGUCCAGAACACCGAUAGCGAAGGCAGCUUACUAAGGAGUAACUGACGCUGAGGCACGAAAGUGUGGGGAUCAAACAGG